CCGUAUCCAUUACGAUCACUGAAGUUAAGCAACGUCGAGCCUGGUCAGCACUUAGAUUGCUGACCGCCUGGGAAUACCAGGUUCCGUA